GUUUCUAAGCCUUCAGUACUGCCAGCAAAGAUCUUCUCUGCUGCAUAGAAACACAAGAAUUUUGCUUCCCUAGAUUUACGGGGCUGAAAUUAGGCCAGGGAUUUAUCAUUUCUGGAAAACAGAAGGGAUAGGGUGAACUGUGACAGCCUGAUUUGCAGGAUGGAGGUGGUGUAUGCUGUAGGUUUGGUUAAGGCCUCCUAUCCCAUGCUCUCCCUAAAGGACUGAAGGAGUGACUGGAUUUCCAGGUCACUGUAUAGGUUUUCUUAUACAGAAUAGGCAGCUGGGUCUGCUUGCUUUUACAUGUUUUUACACUCUUCUGCCUUAGCAAGUGCUCACCCCUACUGAGGGCCAGCCUGUCCUGUAGGCAGUCACCUUUCCUGCAAGAAACUCUCCUGUACCUACAAGCUGAAAAGAGAAACCUUAUCCUGCCCUAACAGAGCUCCUAAGGACUGUGCAUUAACUACUGUGCAGUAGUGUAAGAGCUUCAUGACUUUGUGUCUUUAGAUCUUGUCUGUUAUAACCCAGCUUGACCAAAAACAUCACCACGCAAAUUCUUUUUUUCUGAUAAAGCCACAGGACAGUGUAAUUCUGGCGGUAUCUCUGAGGAGAUUACUAGAAAGUAGGGUACAUGGUGCCAUACCUGGCAUACAUGCCUUUUGGCAGCCACAAAGUCACGAAUAAGAUUCUAAAAGCUCCAGAAACUUGUGAACUCAUUCUCAGUGGAUAUGCUGACCCAGCAAGUCCGGGUGUCCUGAAGUCUCUACUGUUUGGUGGCUCUGAAACAAUUGACAUGGCACAGGCUGGCAUGGGCUUACUUCCAUGAAUGCUGGAGCUAAGCUACAGUGCACAUUUGCAGACUGGGCAGGUCUGAGGUACUUUGAAUAGGGCAGUAGGAAGGAUCUACUACUGUGUGGGAUUCAUCAUCACCGCAGACCAGGACAGGCAGUAGAGUGAUGUGUGUGUGCUGGGGUGUAAGAAUAACCCAAAGGGCUGAGGAUGUACAUGGGAGACAUGAACAAUUUGGGUAAAUGCCAGUGAUAUACAAUGCGAAUUGCCUGGCUGCAUAACCAGUUAUGCAAUGCUGGACAGUGUGGACAACAGCAUGUUUCUGCCAUCUACUCCCACACAAUGAUGACCCAUUUGGAGUCCUCACUAGUCUCUGAUGAGAACCAGCUCACCCACACCUGCCAAAGGCUGCUGAAGGAAGGCCAGAUGUGUAGGCGUCUUACUGCUCUAUCUUUCUUCAGUCAUAUUGUGCAGAGCCUCCAAAAGUUUCCAUGCUCUGCCUUAAAGCAGCUUCAUGAUAUGGUGACUAGUGCUGGGAAAAAAAAAAAAUUAAAAGCAGUUGAGCCAUGGCUUCAAGGUGCUAUGUAAUGAACUGAAAGCUUUACUGAGCUUCACUCAGCCUGGCUAAAAAUCUGGGCAGAAAGCAAUUCUGCCCUGAUACAAUCUUGAUGCUGCACCUGAAAAUUCAUUUUAUUAGAAUAGUUAAUGCAGAGUACCUUAUGUGGGCUCAUGGUUGGAUCUCAAAUUAAAGGAAUUUAAAUACCCUUCAGCACAUUUCUGUAAAUUUAU
ensembl:lncRNA